AUUUGUGUAUUUUCCGAUAGCUCCAAUAUGCUGAUUAACGUAGGGUUUCUGAUUAAUGUAUCGGCAACUAUGAACAUGCCAUUAAGCCGACAGUAUUUUUUAUUAAUGAAUAGUUGUUGAAGUCAAAACAAAUGCAAAUAUGUGGUUCCAUAGUUUUUAGAAAAUACGAAAAUUAAAAGACUUCCCGUUCCUGCCUGCACCUGAAGCUAAUUAGCCUCUUCCGGGCUGCCAGUCAGGCAGCCGCGCCGCGUGCAGACCAACGGCAAACAAUUGAGCUUUUUCGUCGUCAAAUUCAAGUUCAACCAUGAGACUUUUAACAUUUCACCUUCACGAUUACUAUAAUAUGCUCAUCUUAUAAGGAAAAAGACAACUUCCGUCCAUGAUGGUCGCCAUGUUCUUGGAUGUGACUGACCGCUUCCGAGGCACGAAGCACCGCGCGGCCGGGAUGACGGCAUGUCCAUAAAGAGAGGAGCCCGCCACGGAAACGGGCUGCCUUCCACGUUGACCCGCGCGUCAUCGGCCGUCACCUGUACUGCGGAGAAGCGUUUGUAGUGGCCACGUUGUCGCGCUCAGGAUCGGAGAGGUUCCGGGCAAACACGCAGCCGCCACAUGCAGAGUCUGGGAGGUGGACGGACGGGUCUGUGCGACCACGAUGACAACCUGCGCCUGGGCUGGGGAGGACUUGGUGACGCCCACGGUUGUGGAACCGCUCCCCCUCGCAGCGCUGGACCACCUGCAACAGAGAAAUAUGUUACACCAGGGGGAGGACACUUGGGCUCCCCGACACCCCUACUCUGCCUGCUUGAGAUCUCGCUCUAAGAAGAGCAAGAUCUCAAGCAGGCAGGCUAGGGGUCUCGGGGAGCCGAAGUUCCUCGAGAGCCAGAGCCUGCCUGCAUUCGAUCUCUCUAGAUCGAAAGUAGGCAGACUCUGACUCUCGAGGAAGUUCAGUUCCCUCCCCCUGUGAAAAACAAAGGGUCUCAAACGCCGGUCGUCAGGGGCCGCUUUCCUGCCUGUUUUCCGUCUGUCCCUGAUGCAACACACACACACCUGAUUCAAAUGAUCAAGAAUGAUCAUUUGAAUCAGGUGUGUGUGUUGCAGCAAGAAGAGUCAAAAGCAGGCAGGAAGUCGGAAAGCGGCCCUCAACAACCGUCGUUUGAGAGCCCUUGUGUGAAACAAAUGGUCAAUUACUCACCCCUGCCACCAUCUUGUUCCUCACGACCCAGUCAAGAUACGUUGAUCCUAAACAAACAAAUAAAGAGAAACAUGACACCAGUUGUUGCACCAUGUCGUAUCUGGUGUUUUUCCUCACCUUCAGUCUUGCCCAGGCAGCUUGCUGGUGAGUCCUGGUGGACGCAAAGUGUUGCCAUAGUGACGUGAAGAAGAAGCAAAUAGUUUCUGACUGCCACCAUCUUGUUCCUAAGGACCCGGUCGAGACACGUUGAGCCUACACACCCAAAAUAAACAAAAAUAAAUGAGGAGAAACAUGACAUCAGUGGUUGCCCCAAGUCAUCUCUGGUGUACUUCCUCACCUUCAGUCUUGCCCAUGCAGCUUGCUGGUGAGUCCUGGUGGAUGCAAAGUGUUGCCAUAGUUACGUGAAGAACAAGCAAGCAGUUUGACGAGUUUUAUGUCUUUGUAAAGAAUACAUUUGUUGAAGUGAUUGAGUUCAUGUUCCUACCUGAAUCAGGAUGAUUCUGCCAGUGAAGCUCCUCAUCACCGUGUGCGGAAACAAUAAAACGAGGUCCUGGUUGUACGUGCAGGGUACUCGGCAGGGAGGAGAGCGGGGACCGGCUGGACACCUUGAAGAAGACAAGCCUGCAGCAGGACGGUGGCCUGAAAACAGAGAACAGUCAGCGUUGCAGUUUUUGCAGCACCAGAGACAUUC